CUACGGGACGCUCCAGUGAGGAAUAUUGCACAAUGGGGGGAACCCUGAUGCAGCAACGCCGCGUGGAGGAUGACGCAUUUCGGCGUGUAAACUCCUUUUAUAUGUCAAGAAAAUGACGGUAGCAUAUGAAUAAGCACCGGCUAACUCCGCGCCAGCAGCCGCGGUAAUACGGAGGGUGCAAGCGUUACUCGGAAUCACUGGGCGUAAAGGACGCGUAGGCGGGUUGGAAAGUCAGGUGUGAAAUCCUACAGCUUAACUGUAGAACUGCACUUGAAACUUCUAAUCUAGAGUAUGGGAGGGGGAGAUGGAAUUAGUGGUGUAGGGGUAAAAUCCGUAGAUAUCACUAGGAAUACCUAAAGCGAAGGCGAUCUCCUGGAACAUUACUGACGCUAAGGCGUGAAAGCGUGGGGAGCAAACAGGAUUAGAUACCCCUGUAGUC
rnacentral:rRNA from 1 species